AUGUGGAGCCGUAGCGAAAGCGAGUCUGAAUAGGGCGUUGAGUAUUUGGUCGUAGACCCGAAACCAGGUGAUCUACCCAUGGUCAGGUUGAAGUUCAGGUAACACUGAAUGGAGGACCGAACCGACUUACGUUGAAAAGUGAGCGGAUGAACUGUGGGUAGCGGAGAAAUUCCAAUCGAACUUGGAGAUAGCUGGUUCUCUCCGAAAUAGCUUUAGGGCUAGCCUCAAGUGAUGAUUAUUGGAGGUAGAGCACUGUUUGGACGAGGGGCCCCUCUCGGGUUACCGAAUUCAGACAAACUCCGAAUGCCAAUUAAUUUAACUUGGGAGUCAGAACAUGGGUGAUAAGGUCCGUGUUCGAAAGGGAAACAGCCCAGACCACCAGCUAAGGUCCCAAAAUAUAUGUUAAGUGGAAAAGGAUGUGGCGUUGCCCAGACAACUAGGAUGUUGGCUUAGAAGCAGCCAUCAUUUAAAGAGUGCGUAAUAGCUCACUAGUCGAGUGACACUGCGCCGAAAAUGUACCGGGGCUAAACAUAUUACCGAAGCUGUGGAUUGUCCGUAGGACAAUGGUAGGAGAGC
rnacentral:rRNA from 1 species